rnacentral:rRNA from 1 species
GGUUGAUUCUGCCAGUAGUCAUAUGCUUGUUUCAAGGACUAAGCCAUGCAUGCCUCAGAAUAACUGCACUGCAGGAGUCUGCGCAUGGCUCAUUACAUCAGACGCAAUCUGCCGCAAAAAUGUUGCGGUCUCCGCAUAACGGAUAACUUGGCGAAACGCCAAGCUAAUACGUGAAUAACGGGUGCCCUCCACUCACGUGGCCUUCACGGGUCACAGCGAGGUGUGCCUUGCGAAUGAAUGAAAGUAAAACCAACGCGCCGCAAGGCGCAGCAACACCCAGAAGUGUUGAUCCAAUUCAUUCCGUGCGAAAGCCGGUUUACCGGCGUCUUCUGAUGAACAACUGCCCUAUCAGCCAGUGAUGGCCGUGUAGUGGACUGCCAUGGCGUUGACGGGAGCGGGGGAUUAGGGUUCGAUUCCGGAGAGGGAGCCUGAGAAACGGCUACCACUUCUACGGAGGGCAGCAGGCGCGUAAAUUGCCCAAUGACGAAAAAUGUUGAGGCAGCGAAAAGAAAUAGGUCUCCUAAGCGUCUCUACGGCGCUUGGGAGUUGCAAUGGGGGAUAUUUACACCCAUCCAAUAUCGAGUAACAAUUGGAGGACAAGUCUGGUGCCAGCACCCGCGGUAAUUCUAGCUCCAAGAGCGUAUAUUAACGCUGUUGCUGUUAAAGGGUUCGUAGUUGAAUUGAGGGCUGUCAAGGAGUCGGAUCCGUCCCAUCCACCGGAUCGGCGACCUCCGCUCUUGCGGCUCGUGAACGUCAGUAACAAACAUCGCGGGAACGUUUCCCUCCAGAUUCGCAUGCAAUGUAUGCAGGAGGGCGCCCGUGUGUCUUACUGUGACUAAAAAAGCGCGACCAAAGCAGUCGUUCGACCUGAAUUUGAAAGCAUGGGAUAACGAAGGCCACCUACGGGUUACCGUUUCGGCUUUUGUUGGUUUUAAAGAUCUGUGGGAGACUAUGGACACUGCAUGACCGGCGGUUCGGGGCUUCGUCCCCACGCCUCCACCUUCACGGGUGGCUUGCUUGUCCUUGAAUGAAGGAGGGUUGUUCGGGGGAGAACGUACUUGGGCGUGUGAGGUGAAAUUCUUAGACCGCCCAAAGACGGACUACAGCGAAGGCAUUCUCCAAGGAUACCUUCCUCAAUCAAGAACCAAAGCGUGGGGAUCGAAGAUGAUUAGAGACCAUUGUAGUCCACGCCACAAACGAUGACCCCCACGAAUUGGGGAGUUUUCGGCGGCGGUGAGACGGGUCCGCCCGUCCUCAUCGCCUCCGAGAAAGAAUACAAUUUACGUGCAUAUUCCAAGCCAGUCCUUCGGGGCUGGUGUUACGGGAAUAUCCUCAGCACGUUCUUUUUUCCACGCGAAAGCUCGAGGUUACAGUCUCAGGGGGGAGUACGUUCGCAAGAGUGAAACUUAAAGAAAUUGACGGAAUGGCA